GCACCGGUGGUGUAUGGUACACGCAGUCACCUCGUGUGCCUUCCCUUUAUGAGCAGUGGUUGAGUCCGGGGUUCGAUUCCCCGCUGGUGCA